GGGACACGUGGUAUCCUGUCUGAAUAUGGGGGGACCAUCCUCCAAGGCUAAAUACUCCUGACUGACCGAUAGUGAACCAGUACCGUGAGGGAAAGGCGAAAAGAACCCCGGCGAGGGGAGUGAAAAAGAACCUGAAACCGUGUACGUACAAGCAGUGGGAGCACGCUUAGGCGUGUGACUGCGUACCUUUUGUAUAAUGGGUCAGCGACUUAUAUUCUGUAGCAAGGUUAACCGAAUAGGGGAGCCGAAGGGAAACCGAGUCUUAACUGGGCGUUAAGUUGCAGGGUAUAGACCCGAAACCCGGUGAUCUAGCCAUGGGCAGGUUGAAGGUUGGGUAACACUAACUGGAGGACCGAACCGACUAAUGUUGAAAAAUUAGCGGAUGACUUGUGGCUGGGGGUGAAAGGCCAAUCAAACCGGGAGAUAGCUGGUUCUCCCCGAAAGCUAUUUAGGUAGCGCCUCGUGAAUUCAUCUCCGGGGGUAGAGCACUGUUUCGGCAAGGGGGUCAUCCCGACUUACCAACCCGAUGCAAACUGCGAAUACCGGAGAAUGUUAUCACGGGAGACACACGGCGGGUGCUAACGUCCGUCGUGAAGAGGGAAACAACCCAGACCGCCAGCUAAGGUCCCAAAGUCAUGGUUAAGUGGGAAACGAUGUGGGAAGGCCCAGACAGCCAGGAUGUUGGCUUAGAAGCAGCCAUCAUUUAAAGAAAGCGUAAUAGCUCACUGGUCGAGUCGGCCUGCGCGGAAGAUGUAACGGGGCUAAACCAUGCACCGAAGCUGCGGCAGCGACACUAUGUGUUGUUGGGUAGGGGAGCGUUCUGUAAGCCUGUGAAGGUGUGCUGUGAGGCAUGCUGGAGGUAUCAGAAGUGCGAAUGCUGACAUAAGUAACGAUAAAGCGGGUGAAAAGCCCGCUCGCCGGAAGACCAAGGGUUCCUGUCCAACGUUAAUCGGGGCAGGGUGAGUCGACCCCUAAGGCGAGGCCGAAAGGCGUAGUCGAUGGGAAACAGGUUAAUAUUCCUGUACUUGGUGUUACUGCGAAGGGGGGACGGAGAAGGCUAUGUUGGCCGGGCGACGGUUGUCCCGGUUUAAGCGUGUAGGCUGGUUUUCCAGGCAAAUCCGGAAAAUCAAGGCUGAGGCGUGAUGACGAGGCACUACGGUGCUGAAGCAACAAAUGCCCUGCUUCCAGGAAAAGCCUCUAAGCAUCAGGUAACAUCAAAUCGUACCCCAAACCGACACAGGUGGUCAGGUAGAGAAUACCAAGGCGCUUGAGAGAACUCGGGUGAAGGAACUAGGCAAAAUGGUGCCGUAACUUCGGGAGAAGGCACGCUGAUAUGUAGGUGAAGUCCCUCGCGGAUGGAGCUGAAAUCAGUCGAAGAUACCAGCUGGCUGCAACUGUUUAUUAAAAACACAGCACUGUGCAAACACGAAAGUGGACGUAU
rnacentral:rRNA from 1 species